rnacentral:lncRNA from 1 species
GUUAAUUAAGUGAUUCUCCUGAUUGUCAUCAGCGCUAUACCCUCUAGGAAAAUAGCUCAAUUGUUUUCCUGCAUUGAUUUUCAUUGGUAUGUGAUUUCUUAUGAAAUUCUUUUGAGCUUUCCUUAAUUAGACUUUUGAAAAUAGAAUUAAACAUUAGAUUAAAAUAAAAUAGAAUUAAACAUUGGUAUGUGAUUUCUUAUGGAAAGAGUAGUAUUAAACAUUAGAAAGCUAAGGUUGUUCUGUCAAAGAAUUGAUAUUGGCAUAAUUUUAUUUUUGCUUUCGAGUAAAAAAAAAAAAAAUUGUUGACAAGCAAGAUACUGUUUUUAUAUUUUACAGUCAGUUAUACAUAUUUUAUCAUAUUAAAGUAAUUUUAAUAAUAAAUGGAAACAUAACAUUACAAUAAAUCAAUUAAAGUUUAAAUUAUUUUGAAUAUUAUAAAAAAUAAUUUUAAUAUUAUUAAUAGGAAGAUAUUUUGUUUAUUGUAAAAUCUUUUUAACCCAAAGGUUUAUUUAAAAUCGUUAUAAUAAAUAAAAAUAUAAAAACAAAAUAAAUAUCAUAAUUUAAAAUUUUAAUAUUAUUUUAAAUAUUAAAAAUACUUUAAUGCUAUUAGUCUACUACACAGGUUAUAUUACUUAUAUUAUAUUUGUAUAAAUUAAAACUUUUAAAGUUAAAUUUUUAAUUACUAUAUUGAAAAGGUAUUAUGGUUAAAAAAAGUUUUGGCAUUUCUUUUUGAAAAUUUGAGGGUCUGCAGGACAAUUUGUCCAAAUCCUAGAGGUAUAGGUGUCUUUUUUUUUUCGAUAAUUCAUUUUACUUUUGAGGGAAUCUGAUGAGAAAUAAGAUAAGAGAAACGUCAAUUUAACGUUCUCUACGGAAAACCAAGAACUAUUCAAUUUUGUAUUUUUUGUUUGUAAAACGAAAAACAGUUUGCCAAAAAAGGUACCAAACAUAUCCUUAAUGUCUCACAUGAUUUCUUAUUAAGUCCAUACUCGAUAUAUUUAUACAUUUUAGGUAUUUUAGUUAUAAAAGAAGUUGGUCCUCCCUCUGUUUAUAAAAGGUAACUUUAUUUCGAGAUUACCACUAAAGUCUUACAAUGAAUUAGUGUAAUGUUAAGAGAGAGUAACACAAUUUUUCAUUACCAUUUUGAAAAUAGAAAGAUAUGGAUGUGUGCAUUUAAUGGUGCGUUUACUUGUCGGAUUGGGGAAUCGGAAUGAUUGAUGGUGUUUACUUCGCAAAUAUGGAGCAGGAAUCGAAAUUGAAAUGGUGGGGCCCACUACUAUUUGGGAAUGGGAGAUUGAUUCCCAUGGGGGAAGGUGUGAAUAGGGAUGGCAAAUUUUUCCGGAUCUGGCUCGGACCCGGAUAAACCCGGAUGAUCCGGUCCGGGUUGAACCCGGACGGGAUGUAUAAAAAUGCGGAAUCCGGAACCCAUUUUACAAACCCGCACAUGUCCGGGUCCAGUUCCGGUUUUAGGCGAACCCGUAUGUCCGGAAUCCGGACCCGGAUAUUUAUUAAUUUUAAUAUUAAUUUUUAAAAAAAUAUUUUUAAUAUAAAUAGAAAAAAAAAAGAACCCAGAGGUGCCCUAGGGCUUCAUUCAUUCACAGCCGCAGCAACACAUUUCCUCUCCCUCUUCAACUUGUCUUCAUCAAAUCAAAUCGUCGUCACACUCACUUGCCCACCUUCGCAGCUCAUCAUCAUCCUCAUCAGCUUGUCUUGGCGUCUUGCCCACCUUUGCGUUGCAGCUGUUCAUUAUCAUCAUCAUCAGCUUGUCUUGGCGUCUGACUCUUGCCCACCUUCGCGUCGCGGCUGUUCAUCAUCAUCAUCAACUCGUCUUGCCAACUUUUGCGGUUGUUCAUCAUCAAAUCAUCGCCGUCGUCACUUGUAUCAGCCGCCGUCACGAACAAUAACUAGCUUCGAUACAAUCAGAAGUAGCGAGCUUGCCUUCACCGGAUGCCAAUCCUUAAAGUUCGUGAAUGCCAAAUCGGUUCGAACCAAGCUUAUUUGUAUUUGGUUAGUUUAGGCCAUGGAUUUGUAUUUAAUUUGCUGAAAUCCUAGAUUUGUAUUUCCAUUUGUCAGUUGAAUUUAGUUUUUUUUUUUAAAUUAGAUUCAUCAAUCCGGGUUGGAAACCCGCAAUCCGGAAACCCGGUUUUUCCGGGUUGAAUCCGGACCGGACCCGGAGUGAAAAAAUGCGGGUUAUGUCCGGGUCCGGUAUAGAAAAAUAAUCGUCCGGGUCCGGAUCCGGAAAGGCUGAACCUGGACCCGGACCCGGACCCGGAUUUUGCCAUCCCUAGGUGUGAAUGAGUCUCCCAUUCCUGGAUUGACCAUUUUGCCCUCCCUCAAAAUUAAAAAUGCCUACUUUGUCCUCUUUUAUAAUUAAUUAAUAUAAUAUUAUAAUUAAUUAAUAUAUAAAUAUUUUAUUAACUAUAAUUAUUAAAAAUUAUAGUUCUUGAAUAAAUAAUCACAAUAAUUAAUUUAUUAUUAUUAUUGUUAUUUUAAUUAAUUAAUUAAUAUACUAUUAUAAUAAUUAUUAAUAUAAUUAAUUUAUAUAUUAUUAUUAUUAAUGAAUUAAUAUAAUUAUUACUAUUAAUUAAUAUAUUAAUAUAUUAUUAACAAUAAUAUAUUAAUAAUUAUUGUUCGUGAAUAAAUAAUCACAAUAAUUAAUAUAUUAUUAUUGUAAUUAAUUAAUUAAUAUACUAUUAUAAUAAUUAUUAAUAUAAUUAUUAUAAUUAAUUCAUAUAUUAUAAUUAAUUAAUUAAUAAAAUUAAUAUUAUUAAUUAAAUAAAUAAUAUAAUUAUUACUACUAAUUAAUAUAUUAUUAAAAAUAAUUAUUAAUAAUUAUAAUUUUUGAAUAAAUAAUCACAAUAAUUAAUAUAUUAUUUUAAUGAAGUAAUUAAUAUUAAUAUUAUUAGUUAAUAUAUUUUGAUAAUAAUUUUUAAUAUAGUUAUUAUAAUUAAUUAAAUUUUUUUACAAUUAAUUAAUAUAUUAGUUAAUAAUAAUUAUGACAAUAAUCUAUUAAGUACUUUUUAGUAAUUUAUUACAAUAUAAUUCAUUCCGAUUCCGAUUUCAAGACAAAGUAUACACAUUAAUGGCAAUCUAGCUCAUUCCGAUUUUGAUUCCUACAGUUCAAGUAAACAACUUAUUUUAAUUCCCAUUACUUAUUUCCAUUCCAGCCCAUUCUCAUUUCUGUCCAUUCCGAUUCCAGCUAAUUCCGAUUCCAGUUUAGUAAACGCAGCAUAAGAGUUAUCAUGAAAAUCAUACAAUUCAAUUUCCUGAAAUAUAUAUUUUAUUCACAUGUGCCAAAAGAAUAAAUAGAUAGAAAGUAAAUUUACAAUCCUCACUCCCUCACAAUUGUUAAAGUGAAUAUGCAUUACAACUGUGAACUGUCACUACUUUAGCCCUUUUUAAAAAAAAAAAAAAAUUAUAGUGUGAUCGAGACAGUGAACAUCAAGGAUAAAGUGCUCUGCUGGAAGCCAAACUUCCUUUGGCUUUCGGGGAAAAAAAUAUUUGUUGACAAGCAAGAAAAUAUUUUUGUAUUUUACAAUUUAUUAUACAUAUUUGAUCAUAUUAAAGUAAUUUUAAUAAUAAAUAGACACAUAAUAUUACAAUAAAUAAAGUAAAGUUUAAAUUAUUUUGAAUAUUAUAAAAAAUAAUUUUAAUAUUAUUAAUAGGAAGACAUUUUGUUAAUUUUAAAAUCUUUUUAACCUAAAGGUUUAUUUAAAAUCUUUAGAAAUCUCCAUCCCACAUCUACCCUAUUAAACAAGUUGAUGGAAAUUGAACAAUUGCUUUUUGAAGUGGACCCAUUGAGUUAUGUUCAUUACUGGUCAUUGUCUAUUCUUUCUAAGAGCCACUUGUUUUGAGCAUUAGCAAUCCUAUCUGGACUACUCCAAUUAUUGAUGUAACUCUAAUGGCUGCAUCCACAGUUGAAUAUAUGAUAGUGUUAGCUCUUAUUUGAGAAUUCAGAGGGAUAUUUCUAUGUUUCUCAAUUGCAAUGUGCUAGUAUAAAUUUCUUUACCUUACAGUUUAUAUAGUCUUGCUGUUAAAGAACUCACUGAGGCAUUAUUGAUUCAAUUUCAGUGGAGCAAUCGCGGGUAGAGGAUAAAUAAAGGAUAACAGAACAGAGCUGAAGUGCUAAAUUGGCUAUUGAAGAAGGGUGUCACAUGAUCACAAUCACAUUGAUGCACAACUCUCUGGAGGCAAAUUUUGUCUAUAUGUACUCUAAAUUCAUCUAAACCAUACAUGCAUGAACAAAAAUUAAACCGUAGUUCUCAUCACAACAGUAAUUGAAGCUACAAAAGCCAGCAAAUCUGAACAAAAACUUAAAAGGAAGAUCUUAUUCAAAUUUGUCCCCAAAAGAGAGCUGAGAUGAAAAAUAUUGACUAAUGAAUGGGUCAAUGCUGGAUACAUUUCAAAUGGAAAGCUUGGCAGCAGUUACAAUGUUUCCCCCUCAGCUUUUCCUCCAAAACAAAUUCAGUUGUAAACAAUAACCGAAGUAGAGAUAAUUCAUUCAUCAAAGAAAAUACCCAAGUUUUCAACUAACAAAUCCUCUUGUCUAAACUAAAAAAACUCGUAUCUCUAAAAUUUAUUUGCAAAAUGUUGGAAAUGAGGAGUGAUCCGUUAACUCCAUAAAUAAACUCAUGCAUAAUGUUAACAAUAAUGAUAAAUUACAUAAUAAUUAUUGUAAAGAAUUAUAAAUUGGAAACGCUAAUCAUUCUACAAUCUAAUAAAUAAGUAAGAUAAAUCUUGUAAUAAGUUAAGUUAUAAUGUAUAAAUAUUUUCAAUAUAUAAUUAUUUAAGAAGUCAUUUAAUAAUAAAAUAUUUAUUCUAUUCAGUUGAUCAUAUAGCGUUAUCUAAACUCUUGACGAUAUUAUUAUUACACUUUUCUCAAAAAAACAUGAUUAACAUUUAGAGAAAAGUCAUGCCUUUUAGAUAGAAUAUGUACAUAAGCUAUCCAUACUUUAUCUUACCAUGAAAAAAUUGAUGGUGAUUAAAUCUACUUUUAAAAUAGAUUUAAUGCACAAAUAUGAUGAUUUUUGGCAAAAAUUAGUUUCGGAAGAUACAAUGGUAGAAAAUAGUGAUGAUUAUUGUUUAAAUGUGUAAAUAGCCUAGGCAUAGCCCGUAAUACCAAUAUCCAUUUACCUUCAUUUAGAUUAUCACAUCUCAUAAUAUUUUUUCAUUCACGACCAUUGUUCGAGAUUUGAACUUGAUCAUAAAUUAAGCUGCAACGGAGUCUACUUAUGUUUCUAAGCUUUUCAAUCGCGAUUCCUCCAUGCCUUUCUUGGAUACCAUUUUACUGACCUUGUAAUUGGUGUGUAUAAGGAAUCAUGCCCUUUCAGGAUUGUUUUCUUUUUCUUUUUUUUUUCCUUAUUGUAGUGUCAAAUAAAUAAAGAACGAACAAUUGAACUUAGUCUAUUUCGAGGAAAACCAAGGCCUGCAAUAUUAGAUGAACUUUGAACAAAAUUAAUCUACUGCUUUUAGGCAAUGAUAACGUAGUUAUUUAUAUACAGUAUAAAUGAUAUUUUUUUGUCGAACGAGACUGUCAUUCAACAUUUAAAAUAUAAAACAUGUGGAAGAUGUUGUAAAUUGAUUGAAUGAAAAUAUCCCAAUGAAGUUUAGAAAAUUUGGUACUUGUUAUCUUAUCGAAAGUUUUCUAAAUUAUACGACUGUUUAAACUUAGCCCCUCCAGGUACUGCCACUUCUUCUACAUGAAAGUCAUAUAAGUUUGUGUUAGCUGCCUAUAGAUUGCAUAACAAUUUUCCUCAGGAAUUGUUGUCCAUUAUGGCAAUUUGAUUGAAAGUGCGGCUGCACUAAUUUUCUAGAUGAACUUCCCUGCAUGUUUGUUCUCAUAUGACCCAGAAUACUGCUAUAACAAUUGUGUUGGAAAUUAUUCAACUGGGUUACUAACUUACUAUUCUACAUCCCCACCAAAAUUUAAACAGUCGACAUUGUGGAAAGAAACACAUUUCGCCACUAGGCUUUUAGUGAGGCUAAUUUCUCUGAAUUUGGACAGAGUAGGUCCUCCAACGAGAACUGAAUCAGGACGAAUCGGCUCUCCAUUUUCUAAUUCGAACGAGCAAAGGAAGCCUGAAUCUGUGACCGUUAUCAAUAUUCUGCUUCCAUUCUGAUUCUCAGGAAGUACUUCUUCAAGAUCAUCCAAUACAUCGUCACCCUCUUUGUAGUAAUCAUCAAGCACAACAAAGUACUUCUUGUUUGUUAGGUAAUCUCGAAGAAUAGAUUUCUUCAAUUGAUAAUCUUCACCGAUAAUUAAUCUUCAAUUGAUCAUAAAUUAAGCUGCAACGGAGUUUACUUAUGUUUCUAAGCUUUUCAAUCGUCAUUCCUCCAUGCCUUUCUUGGAUACCAUUUUACUGACCUUGUAAUUGGUGUGUAUAAGGAAUCAUGCCCUUUAAGGAUCUUUUUUAUUUUUUUUUUUCCUUAUUGUAGUGUCAAAUAAAUAAAGAACGAACAAUUGAACUUGGUCUAUUUCGAGGAAAACCAAGGCCUGCAAUAUUAGAUGAACUUUGAACAAAAUUAAUCUACUGCUUUUAUUCAUCUUUGGACUAUGAAUUUAUACAAAGACUUUAACAGAAAAUAACAAAGACACAGCUACAUGAUACCAAUAAGUGCUGACUUAGUGGACUACUUCUACAACUAAAUAAAAACUAAUUAUUUAUUUUGAUUGUAAUAGCAACUACCCUGAUGAAUAGGACUCCACAACAACCACGUGACAAUUAAUUUCUCCUUAAUAUUAUUAUUAGUAGAAGUAGAUUUUCAAACUAGUCUUGAUAUAUGACAAAGUUGUAUUAUCAAUGUAUAUGCAUUUAGAUUGUAACUAUAUUUUUUUUAAAACAAAUUUAAUUAUUGCACAGUAAAUGUGGAAAAAUAUCUAUAAAAUAAUAUUAUUUACUAUGAAAAAAUAUUAUUUUAGAUAAGUUAUUUAUUUAUUUAUUAUUGAAUGAAUAAUUUAUUAAUUUAUUGAUAAAUGAAUAUUUAUUAAUUUAAAGAGAGAUUAUUUUUCUUUUAAGAAGAGUUUGUUUGGUACAUGUAUACACUUAUUAAUUUAUUGAAGAUGUCCAGCAAUUAAAGAUCUCUGUCUCAAUACUUUUCCCAAUCAAAAUCAAGAAACAAAAAAAAACUUGCCAUUUUUCUACUUGAUAAUUAAUUGAAAUUUAAGAAAAUACAAUGGCAUUUCAAUUAGAAUUGGUAAUUGUUUAUCUUUUUUUCAUUGAUCAAAUUCAAAUCUUUAUCCAAUAGUUAUAAAUGAAAGAAAUAUUAUGAGAGGAGAUAGGCCAAUUGAAGCCGUACCAGCAAAUAAAAAAUAGAAAAGGAGUGCAACUAUUCAACUUCGUAGACAAUAUUGCAACCAUCCAAAGGUGAAGAUCUAUGCUUAUUAUCUAUUUAACAGCUAUAUAUAUAU